rnacentral:rRNA from 1 species
GACGAACCGUGCGAACGUUGUUCGGAAUCACUGGGCUUAAAGGGCUCGUAGGCGGCCAACUAAGUCAGACGUGAAAUCCCUCGGCUUAACCGGGGAACUGCGUCUGAUACUGGAUGGCUUGAGGUUGGGAGAGGGAUGCGGAAUUCCAGGUGUAGCGGUGAAAUGCGUAGAUAUCUGGAGGAACACCGGCGGCGAAGGCGGCAUCCUGGACCAAUUCUGACGCUGAGUGAGCGAAAGCCAGGGGAGCAAACGGG